rnacentral:rRNA from 1 species
AGUUUGAUCCUGGCUCAGGAUGAACGCUAGCUACAGGCUUAACACAUGCAAGUCGAGGGGCAGCAUGGUCUUAGCUUGCUAAGGCCGAUGGCGACCGGCGCACGGGUGAGUAACACGUAUCCAACCUGCCGUCUACUCUUGGACAGCCUUCUGAAAGGAAGAUUAAUACAAGAUGGCAUCAUGAGUCCGCAUGUUCACAUGAUUAAAGGUAUUCCGGUAGACGAUGGGGAUGCGUUCCAUUAGAUAGUAGGCGGGGUAACGGCCCACCUAGUCUUCGAUGGAUAGGGGUUCUGAGAGGAAGGUCCCCCACAUUGGAACUGAGACACGGUCCAAACUCCUACGGGAGGCAGCAGUGAGGAAUAUUGGUCAAUGGGCGAGAGCCUGAACCAGCCAAGUAGCGUGAAGGAUGACUGCCCUAUGGGUUGUAAACUUCUUUUAUAAAGGAAUAAAGUCGGGUAUGGAUACCCGUUUGCAUGUACUUUAUGAAUAAGGAUCGGCUAACUCCGUGCCAGCAGCCGCGGUAAUACGGAGGAUCCGAGCGUUAUCCGGAUUUAUUGGGUUUAAAGGGAGCGUAGAUGGAUGUUUAAGUCAGUUGUGAAAGUUUGCGGCUCAACCGUAAAAUUGCAGUUGAUACUGGAUAUCUUGAGUGCAGUUGAGGCAGGCGGAAUUCGUGGUGUAGCGGUGAAAUGCUUAGAUAUCACGAAGAACUCCGAUUGCGAAGGCAGCCUGCUAAGCUGCAACUGACAUUGAGGCUCGAAAGUGUGGGUAUCAAACAGGAUUAGAUACCCUGGUAGUCCACACGGUAAACGAUGAAUACUCGCUGUUUGCGAUAUACGGCAAGCGGCCAAGCGAAAGCGUUAAGUAUUCCACCUGGGGAGUACGCCGGCAACGGUGAAACUCAAAGGAAUUGACGGGGGCCCGCACAAGCGGAGGAACAUGUGGUUUAAUUCGAUGAUACGCGAGGAACCUUACCCAGGCUUAAAUUGCAGAUGAAUUACGGUGAAAGCCGUAAGCCGCAAGGCAUCUGUGAAGGUGCUGCAUGGUUGUCGUCAGCUCGUGCCGUGAGGUGUCGGCUUAAGUGCCAUAACGAGCGCAACCCUUGUUGUCAGUUACUAACAGGUCCCGCUGAGGACUCUGACAAGACUGCCAUCGUAAGAUGUGAGGAAGGUGG